ncrna:Petrotoga mobilis SJ95 HNH endonuclease-associated RNA and ORF (HEARO) RNA
GUCAACUACCCACCGUCUAAAGACGGGGGCUUGUGAUGAACAAGCCUUAGUUGGCUACCCUCAGCCGUAUGAAGAAACGGGCUUCCAUCUCUAAAGGAAGAUCAUCGGGCUACGUUAUAUAGGUCAUAACACCUUCGGAUGUUUCUCCUAGUCUGUCGCUCUGUUGUUUAGCUUUAAACAAUCCUGAGGGGUAGGGAUAGUGAGCUAAACGUAAAAAGCCUAUAUAACAUUGGGGAAGGAGAAUAAC